GUGAACACAGAAACAGAAAAUAGAAUGGUGGUUGCCAAGGGCUGGGAGGAAGGUAGAGGGAGAAUUAGUAUUUAUGGAUAUAGAGUUUCUGUUUGCAAGAUAAAAAAGUUCUUGAGAUCUGUUGCACAAUAAUAUGAAUAUACUUAACAGUAAUGAACUAUGCACUUAAAAAUGGUUAAGAAUAUAAAGUUACAUAUUUUUUUACCCCAUAUACCCAAAAAAGCAUUAGCUGUGCAAAGUAAAGUUUCUAAAAAAAUGUGUGUGUGGGCUAAUCUUCCAAUUCUGUUCUAAUAAACACAUAUAAUUCCAGAUCUGGUCAUUCCAUUAUUACUCACAUCUGAUUGGUAAGUCUUUAUGACCAAUGAGUAUUGAAGUGCUGAGAAAUUAUGUAUAUAUCACUAGCCAUAUGUGUUUUAUGAAGAAUUUAUUUUCCAUAAAAAAAGAGAGAGAAAGAAAACUUUGGAUUUGGAGGGGCAAAAUUUAGUGGCAGAUUAAACCAAAUGGAGAAUGAUUAUUCAUAUCUUGGUGCGACAAUCUUAGUUGGUUCCUGGAUGAAUUUCAUUCUAUUUUGCCUGACAUCAAGAUUUCAAUGUGCAUGGCUUAUUAGUGUUUGUGGGCAUUUAUAUAAUGGCAAUUUAUUACACUUUCAGUGACAGAAGCUGUCCUUUAAAGAAUUGCUUUCUGACCUCCUCCUCUUUCAACCUACAACACCUGCUGAAUGAAGUGGCCUGUUCUCUUUUCCUGUCCCCAUAUAGACACUGGAAGUUUUUGUGUGCAGGAGAGCAAGACUGCAAUGCUUUAGCUGGAAGGUUAUUGUAUCACCCACUUGUUGAAUUGCCAUGGAUCAACAAUUUCUCAAUUAGAAGAAGACAAACGAGAAGAUAAAGUAUUUGGUAACUGUAAAGUUUUAAGUAGGAGCUCAGGAAGAUUUUGAGAACAUCUGGUCAGAAUGUAUUUCUUUUUUGAGUCUUGCCUGCCUUCGUUAUUUCACCAUUCAUUAGCAUCUCACUAGAAGAAGGAAGAAAAGAAGAGGAGGUGAAAUUAAGCAAUCAACUUUGUUACUUGUUAACAAAAGGUGGCAAAGAGUUUAAGUACCAGUUACAAGUAAGAGUUAAAAAUCUAUUUUUAAAUAGUCAGUGUGUUUUAGCAGCCUAUGCUGGGCCUGUUAAUAUCAGAACUAAUUAGAGUUAGCCAAGUGACAAUGCAUCUCUACAGUAGAUAUCAACACUGUCCUCAAGUCCACUGUCUCUGGGGUUGGAGAAGGCCUGGUUGAUGUACAUCUGGUAUUUAGAACGAGAAGUCAGAAUGAAUCUUUUUUAAAAAUAAAUAAGGGGGGUUAACUAAUGAUUUCUAUUGUGGAAAUAACUCGAAAAUUAUGUUUGUUAAAUAUAUUUGUCAGAAGAUAAAGAUGUCUAGUUAU